rnacentral:rRNA from 1 species
UGGGGAAUAUUGCACAAUGGGCGCAAGCCUGAUGCAGCCAUGCCGCGUGUGUGAAGAAGGCCUUCGGGUUGUAAAGCACUUUCAGCGAGGAGGAAGGCGUUAAGGUUAAUAACCUUAGCGAUUGACGUUACUCGCAGAAGAAGCACCGGCUAACUCCGUGCCAGCAGCCGCGGUAAUACGGAGGGUGCAAGCGUUAAUCGGAAUUACUGGGCGUAAAGCGCACGCAGGCGGUUUGUUAAGUCAGAUGUGAAAUCCCCGAGCUUAACUUGGGAACUGCAUUUGAAACUGGCAAGCUAGAGUCUUGUAGAGGGGGGUAGAAUUCCAGGUGUAGCGGUGAAAUGCGUAGAGAUCUGGAGGAAUACCGGUGGCGAAGGCGGCCCCCUGGACAAAGACUGACGCUCAGGUGCGAAAAGCGU